rnacentral:sRNA from 1 species
UAAUAAACAUGUAAAGAGGACGUACUAAUCAUACGCCCUCAUGAUAGCACCGCUAAAGACGGUGGCAAGUUUUAACAGAUUUUAGA